GUGACUGUUUUGAGCCCAGCAGAAAAAGGUAAGUGUAUGUUGCAAAUUGUAUUAGGACUGUAUUAUUCUUUCUCUCUCAAAGAUUUACAUAAAUUUGAGCGACUUUCUCAGGAAUACACUUAGGGGAUUUGAAAGUUUAGGACGAUGUUUUUCAGGAAGCUUACCAGAAAUAGGACACAAAAUAUUUUCAGUGGCCCCUUUGGCUAUAGGACAGGGGUUAAAAGUUACCAGGAUUUAUGGUAGAGAAGGACAGAGGUAACUACUCUGUUAUGUGACCUAGGCCUGCCUUUGUUUCAUCACUGUUCCAGAUACAUGGGCUUUCUUUCCAAUCCAUUCCUUUUUUAGGGCAUAGAAUAAGAGACCCACAGGGAGCCACAAGGGCUAAGUCCUUUACCAUCACAAUUCCUGUAUAUAUUUACUGUGCUCUUCUCCACUCCUCACCACCAUUUUGGCUUUACCUGCAAUUUAUACCUCCUUCUUAAGAUGUUCAGGCAUUUUCCAUUAAAAAGUAUAAGCUAAACAUGAGUCUUAACAAACCUUUAGCUUUAUAUUAUUUUGUCAAUGAUAGCCAGAGUAUGUAUGUAGCUACUUUAUUUUGCCACUUUAAUUCUAAUUGCAUGGGAAUUAAUUGUUACAACUCAUUAACCUACCGGCAUUCAUAUUAUGCUGUUUUAAAGCUUCAGUUUGCUAUUACUCAUUUAACAGAAGCAUUUGUUAUAGAGAGAACAGAGUGGUGUGAUUGGGAGAUAAUAGACCAUACUAGUAAAAAGUGUGUAUUCUGGAGCUAGAUGUCUGAAUGAAAAUCCUGGCUCUGCUACUUCCUAAUAAAUUAUUAUACGUCCUUGUGCUCAUUUUAUUUGUGUAUUGUAUAGAAAUAAUAAUAAUACCUAAUUCUUAGAGUUGUUAUGAAAACAUAAUGAAUUAAGAACAUUAAGCACUUAGAAUAGAGAUGAACAAAGCACAUCCAGGUGACUCAAUAAACAUUUGCUAUUAUUGUUAUAGCAUUAGAGAGCAAGUCUUAAGUUCCUCUAGAAUGUUAUGCAUGGUUCUUUUUUACCUUAAGGUCAGAAAUCAUCAUAAACUUUCAAGACAAGUCAGGUGGGGGCUUAGAUAUUAUGCUCAACAAUAAGGGGAAUAAUGUCAAUUAUAUUGUUCUUAUUAGUAGAAACUACAAUUUAUUGUGUGGAGUUCCCUGUUAAGUGUGAUUCAUUUACAUAGAAGGAAACUGAAAUUAGAGAAGUAACUCAUCUCAGGCUAUCUAACUAAUAAGUGGUAGGAUUCAAAUUGUUAGACCUCAAAGCCUGUGUUCUUAAGCAAAUCUGCAUUUGUUUUACUUUUCACUCUGCAACUCCUAGUUUUGCUUAGUUGAGCUCCUUAAUCAGAAACUUGAUGUUCAAUUGCUUUUUUCCAGUAUACAAAGUAGUAUAUCUUCAUUUUUGCAUGUUAUCAAUGUACGUAACUACAUAGGUAUGAAGUAUUAUUUGUAAGCCCAACCCAGUUAAAUAUCUUCUGGGUAGCAUCAAUCCAGUUACCAGGAUUUGGGUUCUCUAGGAGAUUGUUACAAAAGUGUAUGACUUUUCUUCUGACUCUAAGAUUCUGUGAUUCCAAAUUGCACCUCCUGACAUUUCUUAAAUUUAUUAGCACAGUAACAAAUAAGAUUAGAUUUUGCUUCUUAAAAUUUAAAUUGGAGUUCUAACUCUGUCAUUUACUAGCUCUAUGACCUUUUGAAAGUAACUCAACUUCUCUGAAUCUCAAUUUUUAUAAAAUGAAGCUAGUUUAAUGACAUUUUAUGGAUUUACUGUAAGCUAGUGAAAGUAUGUAGCAAUAGUCUGCUUUAUAAAUGUUAAGUAUUAACAAUCUCACUUGUUACUUUUGUUUAUAUGUCAGGAUUUUCAAAAAUAGUAGAUCACAUAAACCAACAUUCAAUUGUAACCAGAAAGUCAAAGGUUAACUUAUAAAAAAACUUCUGAACAUAACACUAGGGCAUGUUACUAAGGAAUGCUAUGAAAUUACAUAAUCAGGAUGUAUUAGAUACCCAACUAUCUGGCAUAAAUCAGUGAGCCUUGCCUAGAAACAGACUAGUAGUCUAAUGACUAUUUGAGGUCCUCACUAAUCCUCUGAACCUGACUUGUUUCAAACAACACUGAACUAUUAAAGUAGAAUAAAAUGUAGUAUAUGACUACCAGCAGGAACAAUGUUUGGCAUAGGCAAAGAAAAUAUAAGUCAAAGAAAUGAAAGUCUCAUAUUGCAUAACUUUUCAUUCAUCUCCAAAGCUUAAGAAAGCCAUAGUCAAACAUACUGCAAAAGCUUUUCCAUUUUUUAAUAGGAAAGACAAUAGAACAAAUUUGACAUAACUUUCUGAUGUUCAUAUAUGAAUAUGCCUCCAAUGAAACUCCAUAUCAUGUAAAACCACAGAACAGGAUCCUAAUCAGAAUAAGCUGUUGUCCAUGUUUAUAAAAUAUGUCAAAAUACACUCUACUGUCAUGUAUAUCUAAAAAGAACAAAUAAAAACAGGUUUUCCAUUUUUUGUCUAUUUAGGGUUCCUGAAGAGUGUUCCCCCAAAAUUCAUGUCUACCUGAAACUGAAACUGAGUUCAUGUGUCCUUUUUUGGAAAUAGGAUCUUUGCAGAUGCAAUCAAGUUAAGAGGAGGUCAUACCAGAUUAGACUGAGUCUAUGUCUACUCAUUGGUGUCCUUAUGAGAAGAAAUUUUGGAUAUACAGAUACACACAGAGAAAAGACAGCCAUGUGAAGAUGGAGGCAGAGAUUGGAGUGAGGGUGCCACAAACCAAGGAAUACUAAGGACUAUCAGCAGCCAUCAGAAGCUAGGAAGAGGCAAAGAAAGAUCCAACCCUGAAGCCUUCUGCAAGAGCAUGACCCUACCUACAUCUUAAUUUCAGACGUCUAGUUUCCAGAACUGUGAGAAUAAAUUUCUCUUAAGCUACUCAGCUCGUGGUAAUUUAUUAAUCUAUUACCAC
rnacentral:lncRNA from 1 species